rnacentral:rRNA from 1 species
CCUACGGGCGGCAGCAGUGGGGGAUAUUGCACAAUGGGGGAAACCCUGAUGCAGCGACGCCGCGUGAGUGAAGAAGUAUUUCGGUAUGUAAAGCUCUAUCAGCAGGGAAGAAAAUGACAGUACCUGCCCAAGAAGCCACGGCUAACUACGUGCCAGCAGCCGCGGUAAUACGUAGGGGGCAAGCGUUAUCCGGAUUUACUGGGUGUAAAGGGAGCGUAGACGGCAGCACAAGUCUGGAGUGAAAUGCCGGGGCUUAACCCCGGAACUGCUUUGGAAACUGACACCCUUGAGUGAGUGAGAAGUAAGCGGAAUGCGUGUUGUAGCGGUGAAAUGCAUAGAUAUUACGCAGAACGCCGAUUGCGAAGGCAGCUUACCGGCGCUCAACUGACGCUGAGGCACGAAAGUGCGGGUAUCGAACAGGAUUAGAUACCCGAGUAGUC